CCUACGGGGGGCAGCAGUAGGGAAUCUUCCACAAUGGACGAAAGUCUGAUGGAGCAACGCCGCGUGAGUGAAGAAGGGUUUCGGCUCGUAAAGCUCUGUUGGUAGUGAAGAAAGAUAGAGGUAGUAACUGGCCUUUAUUUGACGGUAAUUACUUAGAAAGUCACGGCUAACUACGUGCCAGCAGCCGCGGUAAUACGUAGGUGGCAGGCGUUGUUCGGAAUGACUGGGCGUAAAGGGUGUGUAGGUGGUUAGAUAAGUUAGAUGUGUAAUACCCAGGGCUUAACUCGGGUGCUGCAUCUAAAACU
rnacentral:rRNA from 1 species